rnacentral:rRNA from 1 species
UACAGAGGUCUCAAGCGUUGUUCGGAUUCAUUGGGCGUAAAGGGUGCGUAGGCGGCGCGGUAAGUCGGGUGUGGAAAUCUUGGAGCUUAACUCCGAAAACUGCAUUCGAUACUGCCGUGCUUGAGGACUGGAGAGGAGACUGGAAUUUACGGUGUAGCGGUGAAAUGCGUAGAUAUCGUAAGGAAGACCAGUGGCGAAGGCGGGUCUCUGGACAGUUCCUGACGUGAGGCACGAAGGCCCGGGGGAGCAAAACGGGG